rnacentral:misc_RNA from 1 species
GCAGUUCAUUAUUAAAAUCCUGUAACAGGAAACAAGAAGCAAACGCUAAAGUCCAAAUAUUUUUUUUUCAUUCGGUAACUGCACAAGAAAUCAAUCACUAGAUUUCUAAGAAAGACAGCAACACAAGCAAGCAUCAGAAUAUAGAAUUCAGAUGGAAAUGGGACAUGGACUCAGCUCUUAUUCAGCACUGUCAAAUCUAUUUAGGUGGCACAAAUCCAGAUGAACAGAUGUGAAGUGACAAAGAAAAUUUAAAUAUGGAAGGAGGAAAUUAGAUGCAGAAACGAUAGCAGUAUGAACCGGUUGUCGAGUUCUGGAGGGUCAUGCAAAUAUUUUCUCAUGAAGA